GAUGAAGAACGUAGCGAAAUGCGAUAAGUAAUGUGAAUUGCAGAAUUCAGUGAAUCAUCGAAUCUUUGAACGCACAUUGCGCCCGCCAGUAUUCUGGCGGGCAUGCCUGUCUGAGCGUCAUUUCAACCCUCAUGCCCCUAGGGCGUGGUGUUGGGGAUCGGCCAAAGCCCGCGAGGGACGGCCGGCCCCUAAAUCUAGUGGCGGACCCGUCGUGGCCUCCUCUGCGAAGUAGUGAUAUUCCGCAUCGGAGAGCGACAAGCCCCUGCCGUUAAACCCCCAACUUUCCAAGGUUGACCUCAGAUCAGGUAGGAAUACCCGCUGAACUUAAGCAUAUCAAUAAGCGGAGGA
rnacentral:misc_RNA from 1 species